ensembl:lncRNA
CAAAGACUCCACGCUCUCAUUUUCAGUUAGCACAUGGAGAGCAUGUGGACUUGUUCUUGGGGGUGUUUUUCCCAGUUCAGGUCAAUAACUGUAGACUCAGAAUGUGCUGCGGGCCCCGCAUGGUGCUAAACAUCAGGUACACGAAGGUGCCUGUCAGUGUUCUGGCCUGGCAAAGGGCUUCGAGUUCUAGUGGGCCUGAGCCUCACACGGGGUCCCUGCAGCUGCUGACUGCUGCGUGAUGUAAGCAUGUUUUGCAGAUGCAGCCAGGCUCGGGAGAAGGAGUCUCAGAAAUGUCGUGUGGUGUCCAUGGUCGCUGUCCCAGGAGGAGCAGCGUGCGUCCUUCUACCCGGGACCUGGGCCUCUGCUUCCCAGCUGAGUCUAUGAAGUCAGUGUUGUUAUCCUGACAACAAAACCAGACAGAGACACCACAAGAAAAGAAGAUUUCAGCCUAACAUUCCACAUGAAUAUAGAAACAAAAAUCCUCAGAAUACCAGCAAACCAAUCCACGCAUAGUGAAAGGAUUAUGUGAUCAGGUGGGGGUUAUUCCAGGAAUUCCAGGUUGGUUUAAUAAUUCAGACUCAGUUGACACUGAAUAUUAAUAAAGGAGGGGAAGCCUCACAAUAGAGAUGCAGAAAAAGCAUCUCAUGAAAUGCAGCACCUUUUAUGAUGCAAACUUCUGACUAACCAGGAGUGAAGGGAACUCGCUCAAUUCGAUAAAUGUCACUUAAGAAAAAUCCAUAGCUAAUGUCACACUUAAAGGGGAAAGACCAAAUAUUUUCUCCCUAAUGUCAGGACAAGGAAGGGAUAUCCACGCACACCAUUUUCACUCAACAUUGUAGUAGAAGUUGAAGUCAGUAUGUUAAGAAAAAAAGGAAAUAAAAAGCAUUUAGUUGAAAAGGCAGUAAUCUGUCAUUGUUUACAGAUGACAUAGUCUCAUGUGGGACCCACACUCACAAAGACACCCUCAUAAGAACCAAUGAAGGGCCGGAAAUUUAGCUCAGUAGCACCGCGUCUGCCUCACAAGCGCAAGGUCCUGAGUUUGAUCCCCGGUACCAAAGAGACCCAAAACAUAUCAAAACAAAAAACAAUGAAGAAGCUCAGCAAGGUCGCAUGAUACAAGAUCAAUACAUGAAACUGAAUUGUAUCAUUAAUACCAGUGAUAAAUGAUCUAAAAUGAAGUUGAAAAAACACUUUCAUUUACAAUAUCAUAAACAUAUUAAAUACUUAGGACUGAAAUAACAUAGGAAAGUACAUCAUUGGGAUGCAUUAUGAUGAGAAAUGAGGAGAGCUUUUGUGCCCAUGGAGCAGAAGUUACAAUAUUAUCAAGAUUUGCUUAUUCUCAAAUAGAUCUAUAUAUUCAGUGCAAACUCAGGGCACAUCUUGAGGCUUUUUGUAGAAACGAACAAGCAAAUAUCCAGAAAACCUAGUCUUGAAAGAGAACCAAGUUAGGGGGUUUAGACAUUUCUUGAUUUCAAAACCUACAUGAAUAUAAAUAAUCAGGACAAUGAUACUUGUAUAAGGAUAGACAUGUCAAUCAAUGGCACAGACAAAAUGGCCCAGAUAAUCAAUAGAACAGAAUGAAAUGGUAAAUAAACCCUUGAAUUUAUGGUCAAUUAAUUUUCAACAGAAGUAUCAAGGCAAGUCAAAGGAGAAAGGAAUAUGCAAUAAAUGACACUGAAGCAACUGGAUAUCAACAUGCAAAAAGAUACAUUGAAACGUUUUACAUCAUGGACAAAAAUUAACUCUAAGAUGGAUCACAGACUUAAAUGUAAGAGAGUUUGAAAAGAUUGCUAGGAAUAAAACAAGACAGAAUGAAAAGUUACCUGGGGCUCUGAAGCUGUCAACCAGGAGAUGAACACACCCACCCCCCACAGCUGGCCUUUGAGAUGAGCAGCGGAUCACCAUGCUGCGAUCAAGCCUGGCUGUGCCUCCCGCUGCUAACAGGAGCCCCCAGGCUGCCCCACUGGCGCUGCUGCAGGGCACCUGCAGGGAUGCGAACGCUGCGUGUCCACACACAGCCCCGUGCAUGUGUGCACACAGACAUACUUGUGUGAUUCUACACUCACGUGCAUGCACACACAGGCACACAGCUUCGCUCACAGCCUCACACUGUGUGUACACACAUGCACACAAAAAGCCUUAGGAACACACACACAUGCACACACAUGCACAUCUGUACACACUCACGCACAGUCCUAUGCACACUCAUGCACACACAUCCUGUGCCCACUGAACACAAUAAGGUCGGAGGGGCACUCUUGGAAUAGAGCCUCUUUUGAGAAUGGAUUAGGCUUCCUGAUGGUAACUGGAAGAAACGUAGAGAGAGACCCUGACAUCUCCCAGAAUUCCCACAUUCCCAUCUCCCAGCAUUCCCAUUCCCUCAGACCUCCUCCCUCUUACCUGGCUGCCUUCACCAUGGGAGAGAUCAGCAGAUGCAAUGGAAAGUCCAGGGAGGGGAGCAAUGCAAGAGCAGUACAGAACUUGAAAGAUAAAGAGGAUAGAACAAAGCAAAAGCUCUCUUUGUAUAGAUAUCUUUAUAUCCAAAGAAACAAACAGUAGGGAAUCAAGGAGUAAGUAGGAUCGGAAUAUAUGGUAGUGAUGAGAAAUACAAAGCCAUAAGCAUGUUAACCCUCCUUUGCUUUGCUGUUUCAAUGACUGGGAAUUUGUUUUAGGAAAAUAACACCAAACCAUGAAAACUCUGCAUGCUUCAUGACUAAGAAGACCGCAUUAGCAAUCAAUUAAAAUGGCAACACUAGAAGAACCAUAAAGUGAAUCUACUGCAGUGAGUCACAGCGGCAAUUUAAAGACCAAGUUGCCGUUAACUAAGAUGCAGAUGACGCAGUCAUGGAAAGUUGCAUAUGUGCUGUCUGCCCACAUGUAACACGUGUGUCUGCCCUGGGAUAACGGAAAGGUACCUGGGAAGCACGUGGCGAGAUUGUCCGCAAAGUGUCUAAGACGAGAUGGUUGUCAUAGUCCUGAUUAUUCAAUCAACUGUCCUUUAAGAGACUGAAUUAAUCUAGGUAACUUUUUUCUUUUUUAGACUAGCAGUAGGGCCCUCCAAAGUGAGUGGCCGCUGCAGAAGCUGCUCAGCCCCGGAUCCUGGAUGUCCAGAGUUGCAUCAACAAGCUGUCUCGGGCUGGCUGCUCGUGGCGAUUUCCCUCGUCCUGCUGGAGAGCAGCAGAUGGUUUCCCAUACUGUGUUAUAUUUAUUAACAUUCAGCCCAGACUUAAUUGACAAUACUAAACAUUGGUUCUUUAAACAUUCAGCUUCAUUAUUUGCAAUGGUAAUUUCAGUAAACAGUAGCUAUUCCAAAGCUCUGUAGUGUGAAAUUAAAUUUGUUGGUUAAUUAAUUGGAAGAAUGUAGCAACUUCAGACUGCUUAGAGAUGGUGGCCUUGGUGUGGCAUUGAAAUCAGUGAUCUGUAAAAUUACUCACAGUAUAGCAAAGUCAAGACAAUGAGAUAAAUAAACUUAUCAACUUUUAGACACUAGCAAGUGCUGAGUUCUUGGAAUGAUGCUAUUACAGAAUGAACACACUGCUGUACCCAGUAAAGGAUGUUCUUGAUUGAUGCACAUGUUUAUUUUAAUAACAAAUUCUUGCUCACUUACUGCUUUGGGAUCACUAUACCCCCAGCUUUGUUUGCCUGGACAAGAUUUAUCUUACUAACAUUGCUUUUGACAAAGUGUGAUGUUGGAGUAAUUUACCCAGUAAUAAUCCAAAGUGUGGUUAUUCAGAGCUCUGAGCUUCAGUUAGUUACAUCAGUAUUUCCUAUUAGCUCACUAUAAGCUUCCAUUUACAAAUUAUAACAUAAAAAGUCCAGAGUAAGAAGUGAUUGACUUAAAAAACCAAUCACCACAGAAUAUUUGAUCUCCUUUAGGGGCCCCAAAACAUUAUUGACCAUGGUAAUGAAAUGCUAUUUUUUUUCACCUAUUGGUUGACGGAGAUGAAAAGGAUGGCUAACCAGUGACAUACACCAUCAGAGAAGUGGAAAUUGAUAUAUGUAUGAAAGCAAUUUGGUAGUUACAUCACAUCAAAUAUGUAUCAAAAGCCUUUGCCACUACCUCCCUAGAUAUUCCAUAUCUGGAAAUGUAUUAUUCAGGUGCAACUGUGGA